AAAUUGAAGAGUUUGAUCAUGGCUCAGAUUGAACGCUGGCGGCAGGCCUAACACAUGCAAGUCGAGCGGAAACGAGUUAUCAGAACCUUCGGGGGACGAUAACGGCGUCGAGCGGCGGACGGGUGAGUAAUGCCUAGGAAAUUGCCCUGAUGUGGGGGAUAACCAUUGGAAACGAUGGCUAAUACCGCAUGAUGCCUACGGGCCAAAGAGGGGGACCUUCGGGCCUCUCGCGUCAGGAUAUGCCUAGGUGGGAUUAGCUAGUUGGUGAGGUAAGGGCUCACCAAGGCGACGAUCCCUAGCUGGUCUGAGAGGAUGAUCAGCCACACUGGAACUGAGACACGGUCCAGACUCCUACGGGAGGCAGCAGUGGGGAAUAUUGCACAAUGGGCGCAAGCCUGAUGCAGCCAUGCCGCGUGUGUGAAGAAGGCCUUCGGGUUGUAAAGCACUUUCAGUCGU
rnacentral:rRNA from 1 species